CUCGCAGAGCAGGCAGGACUGAAGCCCCGAGGUCCAAGCUGGCCUUGGGUUGGGGUUCAGGAGAAAUGAUCCUUGGGCCCCCCGCAGAGGACACUUCCCCGAGACCAAAUGUCAACCGGCUACACCCUUUCAAGCCGGCCCUACACCGUCAGCGGCAAUGUUUGCUUCUGAUCACAACUGAAAGUUGCCCUGAAACAACUAGAGAACAUGUCUCUUGCAUCCAGUCCAGAAGCCUCAGGAAGCUUCCCUGGAUGACUUGGACCCCAAGAAGUCAAAGCUUUCUAUUUCUUUGAGCUCCAGGCAGCCUGGCCUGAACCAACUGGAUUACAGAGGCCUGCUAACACAUUUCCCUCGCUUGCAUAUACCUGUCUGAGGUACCAGUUUUAUGUAUCCACUGAGGUAAGAGGGUGCCAGGGGCCACGUGUACAGCUCUGGGCUCUGAACAUGAUGUUCAUUUCUGAAGCUGGUGGUCAGUGGAGCGGCUCCCCCAGGGGCAAGGAACAUUUUGCCAGGCUUGGAUUAACUUCUGCAUUGCUGAGCCCCGCCCCAGCACCACAUUAACUCAUGGAGACAUCCUGGAGAGGGGGUGGAGGAGGAGGAGGAGGCAGGAGGCCGGCACUGAUUGAGAAAUUGAGCCUGAGUAAGGCAGCACCAAGGUUACCAGCCAGGGUACAGCCCUUAGCCAUCUCGAGGGAGCCAUCAGUGUCAUGCUGAUUGUCAAACCACAAACUGACUGCCUUUUCCUUCUUAGCACCUAGUACUACUCCUGGCCAUGGAAACCCUCUGGCUUAAGGUCUCUGAGGGACCUUUUCUCAUGUUGUCAACAUGGAUUCAAGAUCUCUGGAAGUUCAGCCUCUUCAGGGUGGCUGAGUGAGCCUGGCAUGGGAGUGGGUGAGGACAGGCCCUAGGGUCUCAGGCUGCCAAGCUGGGCAAAACGAGAGCAGGGAUGCAGUCCAGCGUGGCUAAGUAAACACAAUGAGAGGCAAGGGACAGGAGAGGAAGGUCACACUUCUCACCCAGGAGCUCUGGGGCAGCCCCUGCUAUCCUCAGCUUGUUCUCUUUAGAGUAACCUCCACUCACUGCAGGGCAGCAUUCGAGUCCAAAGUCCCACCGGAGAGAGAAAUCACAUGACCUCAGCUUAUAUAAUCUCCCUGUCACUGAACAGCUGGAACCCAAGGCUUCAGAAGAUGAGUCAGCAGCCCCAGUGCAAGUAGGACCCAGAUACUCAGGUUCCCAGACCCUUUGCUUUAGAACAGAUCCUAGAGCAGAGAGCAAGGGUGUAUAAAGGAUGGGUGGGGAGGAGGCUGGUCUAGACUCCGGGCCCAGGUCCCUGGCUCUGCCUCUGGGGUGCAGGUGCCCAGCCUGCUGACUGUAUUCUGGAGGGCUCUGGGCCAAUCCCUGGCUCUUCUUCGUGAGAGGAGAGGGUAACCUGGGCAGGGCGGAGUGAGGGCUGGGCUGAGGCCAGUGGGCAGA